rnacentral:rRNA from 1 species
GGGCUACACACGUACUAAAAUGGUCGGGACAAUGAGCUGCAAACCUGCAAAGGCUAGCCAAUCUCAAAAACCCGAUCUCAGUUCGGAUUGUACUCUGCAACUCGAGUGCAUGAAGGCGGAAUCGCUAGUAAUCGCUGGUCAGCAUACAGCGGUGAAUACGUUCCCGGGUCUUGUACACACUGCCCGUCACACCAUGGAAGUCGACUCUUCC